rnacentral:rRNA from 1 species
AUUUAAAUGGCCGCAGUAUUUUGACUGUGCAAAGGUAGCAUAAUUAUUAGUUUUUUAAUUGAAAGCUUGUAUGAAGGGUUGGACGAGAUGAAAUCUGUCUUUAUUUAAAUUAAAAUAUAAUUUAACUUUUAAGUAAAAAGGCUUAAAUGUUUAUAAAAGACGAGAAGACCCUAUAGAUCUUUAUUUAAUUAAAAUUUUAAUAAUUUAGGAUUAUUUUAAUUUAAAGUUUUAACUAAAUUUUAUUGGGGUAAUAUAAAGAUUAAAUAAAUUCUUUUUAUUUAUAACAUUGAUUUAUGAAUAUAUGAUCCAUUAAUAUUGAUUAUAAGAUUAAGUUACCUUAGGGAUAACAGCGUAAUUUUUUUGGAGAGCUCAUAUCGAUAAAAAAGUUUGCGACCUCGAUGUUGGAUUAAAAAUUAGCUUGGGUGCAGAAGCUUAAGAUUUUGGUCUGUUCGACCAUUAAAUUUUUACAUGAUCUGAGUUCAGACCGGCGUGAGCCAGGUCGGUUUCUAUCUUUAUUAAGAUAAAAUGUUUUAGUACGAAAGGACCAAAUAUUUAAUAUAAUUAUAUUUAUUUUUUGAAGAAUAUU